UGAACAUGUGUGUGUCAGUGGUAAUGGC
rnacentral:piRNA from 1 species